rnacentral:lncRNA from 1 species
AUUACAUAAUUGUUGCAUCAUGCAUUUUAACACUUAGGAGCACAAUAUCUAGAUUUUAAUUUUUGUUUUUAAAUUUUCGUACCUUAAAUUGUGGUGAUCGCUGGAGGACCCCAAGGUACGUUAAUUUCUUUAUUUCUCUAGAUUAGGACACGUAGUUUAAAUCAUCCAUAUUUGUUUACCGCUUUUAUUAUCUCGUUGUGUGGUGCAUCAUUUUAAAUAAAUCUUAAGGGCAAAACCACUCAUAAGAUAAGGGAAGGGAUUUCAUUACUCUUUCCUUGGCCCACAACAAUUUAAUUCUUCAUUUUGCAUUCCCUAGCCUUUUAAUAAAAUUGAAUUAGACGUUAGCCCCUAGGAUUUCGCGCUCAAUUAGGAAGGUACCUAAAAGACGAGGUAAUCUUUAAUUAUUCCGACUUUUCGGUGUCUAAGGCAAGCGAAAGCUUACCUGGCCGAUUAAGGUUUGGUGUCUAAGCGCGGAGAUUGGCCUCUUGGCAAUGCCUGCUCCAAACUGGCCAAACCGGUCCGAAUAAUUUUGGAUUUAUCGAGUUUUUGGUGGUCCUUAACGUUAGGAGCAAGGUCUAGUUCAUUUUUAUUAGGGAACCCUAGAUUUAGGUUUUUCUUUCUCUUUUACACCCUUUCUUUUGUGUGUUUUAAUUUUUCGCACUUACUUGCUACGUGUUUACUAUCUUGUUUAUGCGAACUACUUGGGUUAGGAACGAGUCAUCUAGAUUAGUGA